CGGCUUACAAUCCGUACACUGAGCCGAGCAAGAAAUAUACACCAGGCCAACUAUGAUACUUUAUGGCAUUGAUAACAUCCGAGAUCUCUUCGGUCACAAGGUGGAUCUUGGCCUCGUUAAGAGUAACCCUAUAUGUCGUAUUGGCUUAUAAUACAAAUGCUAGGAUGAAUGGUCGGUUAAUAAACAUUAACUAUCAGUUUUUGAUUUUGGCUGCAUAAUAUGCUAUAUUUGCAGUCUGAUCCAAAUAUAAAGAGUUUCAGUCUUUGGCUGCUACUCUUCCUGAUUAUGCAAGGCCAAUGGAUGACGGGAUUUAUCGCGUUGUUGAUAUAUAGCUAAAAGUAAGAAGUAGCUCAGAACUAAAGGUGGAAAUAUGGACGGGUUGGGUAACAAGUCAAAAUCGGGUAAUUUCUGGGACAGGCCUAACAAUAAACAGGCCAGGGAGGAGAAAUGCAUUCCGACCGCAAACAAUUAAGGAACUAAUUCACGCUUUCAAUGAUGCUAGAGAUGAUAGUACAAUAGGAGUUAUUAUUCUCACUGCAAAGGGAACCAAAGCUUUCUGUAGUGGUGGUGAGCCGAGGCAAGAGACACGAGCUUGUUAAACGACAUGUUUCG